rnacentral:tRNA from 1 species
GGGAGUGUGGCUCAGUGGAAGAACCUCUGCCUUGCAUGCUGAAGGUCCCAGGUUCAAUCCCCAGCAUCUCUA